GACGAACGCUGGCGGCGUGCUUAACACAUGCAAGUCGAACGUUGAAGCUGGAGCUUGCUCCGGUGGAUUAGUGGCGAACGGGCGAGUAACACGUGAGUAAUCUGCCCUUGACUCUGGGAUAACUGCGGGAAACUGUAGCUAAUACCGGAUACGACACCUUCGGGCAUCCGAUGGGUGUGGAAAGAAUUUCGGUCAAGGAUGAAGUCGCGGCCUAUCAGCUAGUUGGUGAGGUAAUGGCUCACCAAGGCGAAGACGGGUAGCCGGCCUGAGAGGGUGACCGGCCACACUGGGACUGAGACACGGCCCAGACUCCUACGGGAGGCAGCAGUGGGGAAUAUUGCACAAUGGGCGAAAGCCUGAUGCAGCAACGCCGCGUGAGGGAUGAAGGCCUUCGGGUUGUAAACCUCUUUUAGUUGGGAAGAAGCGAAAGUGACGGUACCAACAGAAAAAGCACCGGCUAACUACGUGCCAGCAGCCGCCGUAA
rnacentral:rRNA from 1 species